rnacentral:rRNA from 1 species
ACCGGAGUGGACGAACCUCUGGUGUUCCGGUUGUCACGCCAGUGGCAUUGCCGGGUAGCUAUGUUCGGAAGCGAUAACCGCUGAAAGCAUCUAAGCGGGAAGCGCGCCUCAAGAUGAGAUCUCCCGGGGCACAAGCCCCCUGAAGGAACCAUGUAGACUACGUGGUUGAUAGGUCAGGUGUGUAAGUACAGCAAUGUAUUGAGCUAACUGAUACUAAUGAUCCGUGCGGCUUGACCAUAUAACCUCA